rnacentral:SRP_RNA from 2 species
UGCUGGGCCUUGCGCAACAUGGCUUUGUGAAUCCCGUCAGGUCCGGAAGGAAGCAGCGGUAGCAGAACACCUUGUGUGCUGUGAGAUCCCCCGGCAUUC